rnacentral:lncRNA from 1 species
UUGGGUUUUGAGCAUUCUAACACUCCUAAGUGUACAUGCAACCCUAAAUACCUUGGAUCUAUGUUUUCUGUAUUAUACAUGCAAAUAUGAACAUCCAAGGUAUUAUCCUAAUCUAGCAUACAAAACAAUAACUAUAGCAAGAUAGAAUACAUACCUUUUUGGUGUAGAAAGUCUUCAUGAAGCUUGAGUGCCUAGUGCCCCAAGUGUGACACCUCAAAUGGAAUCACAAUCAUCAAAACACUUAGAAUAGCUUGAGAGAAUUCUACAACUCAUGAAAUCGGCUAGCCCUCUCUUUUCACACUCUAGUGUGAUUCUAGUGACCGAUUUUGCCAAGAAUAAUAUCUUUAUAUAGUGUUACAAUUAGGGCAAACCCUAAUUGUCAUGACUUUCCAUUUCCUUGGAUCCAUGGGUUCAAAUACACCAUGGAGCAUCCAUGGACCAUCCUAUGGGUUUUAGCCCAACUUGAUUAUCCAUGGAGCAUUAGCCCACUAUACAAGUAUGGAUGAUUUACACAAUCAACCCAUAUAUUUAAUUAGUCUUCUUUUGAUCACUUAAUUAAUCCUAGAUUAAUUCUUGAUCAAUACUAAUUAAAUAAUCUUAUUAUUCUUAUUAUUAAUAUACUAGAACUUAUAAUAUAUUAAUAACCAUAAGUGUCUUAUUUCUCUCAUUAUAGUCUAUCCAAGUGCAUGAUGGUAUGCAACCCAAAUGGACCAUGCCGGGUCGGGUCAAGUCUUACCAAUUAUAGUUAUGGACUUAGACAUUAAUCCAACAGUCUCCCACUUGGAUAAGUCUAAAACUAUUAUUGCGUAUGACUUCAGGAACCAACUGGCAAUCGUAGCUCUCAAAAGCUUCUGUCGAACUCUGACCUUGUAGAUGAACUCUGACCUUUGUCAAUGACUUGUCCAUUAGAUAAGGGAUCAUAUAUUCCUCCAUUCUAGAUAUCAUAUGGACUGAGACAUGGAUUAUAAUCAUUCUCUCUGUCCAUUUGUUGUUUCCCGAUUUCCGAUUUAUGACGACUGACUAAUUGAACAAAUCAAAUCAGUCCUGGCCCGGCCGAGCACUUCCAUUUGUCAUCAUCAAAUCAUCGAGGGGCCCACAGAUAUCGCUUUUAUCCCGAAGGUAAAAGGAAUGGAUAAACUUCGACUCAUAUGGCUUGUUCUACUACUUGUUGAAUCAUACACAAAGGCACGUUUUAUAGCACCGAGUUACCAAAUGCGUUUUCGUGCAAUCAAUGUACUAUCAACUCAUAGUAACAACUCAUAUCUCUAGGUUUGAAGAAUAUAAGAUAUUAUCGUCUCAUGAUCACUCGUGAUAAAAUCCAUGAAGUGAUUCCAAUGAGCGCGGGUUGAAUCCAAUACUCAGAACUUAUGAGCACUCAUGAGUGUUGUAGCCCUUUGUCCAACACCUUAGACCUCUACAAGCCAACCCAUGACAGUCUUAAUUCAUAUCUACUUCCAACAUAUGACCGACUGUGGAUGGUUUGAAUAACUUAGUCAUUCCGGAAGAAUAACCUAGUUUAUUCGGGAAGUCAAAACAUGCAAAGUGAAACACAAUAAUAAUUGAAUCCAAUAUGGUAUCAAAACUUUGAACAUAAAUAAAACACCUUUUAUUUAUCACCAUAUGAUUACACAUUAUUCAUUGUAUACUGUUUCAGCUAUCAACUUUAUUCUUGAAUUUAAAACAAUAGUUGUCCCAUGCUCCAAGCAUGUACACUAUGUUUUCUUAAACACUAGUCAUGCCACACACCAAGUAUGCAUACUAUGUUUGUCUAUGAUCUUUACUUUGUGAACUAGAUCAAUUGAACAUAACUUCAAUGAUUCUCUUUUCACACUCCCAAAUCCUUACUGCAAAUGCAAGAAUUCCAAAUUCAUGCCAUUUACUGAAAUCUGUUAGAUUCUAAACUUAUAUGCAUUGAUCCUCUUGUAAUGAUUAUGCACAAAGUCAGAAAGACUUGACAACAAUCAUUACAGAGUAUUCCAAAGGAGAUCAGCUCCUUGGAAACAUCCUUCUUGCAUUAAGUUUCCUAAUCUUAAACAGAUUGAAAAUUCUAACUUUGAAACAUUUCCAGAUUCCAUUUUGACUAUCACUUCUGAACAAGAGUUGCCUCCUUACAGAUUAUGUCAAUAUGGUCCUUCCAGAAUUAUCACUAUACUUCCAACUGUCCUUGAGCAACCAAUCUUUGGUAAACCUUAGAUUGUCCUCGACAAUUGUUUAAUCCUUUUAGUCAUAUCCAGUUCUAAACCUUUUCCCUUCUUAAUGCCCCAGGCAUUUGGAAAAUUUUAGAACGGAUGAAUAUAGCACAUGUAAUCGAUCCUAUAUCCGAAGCAUAUGGGACACGAUUCAUGAUGUCUUACAUAAAGACUAAACCAGUCUUUUGCUAUAAUAUUUCCAUUUCAAUUUGCCAAGUUCUCAUAAUUCAGAUUAUGAAAAGGGAUGCCGUAAUCAUAAUCGAAUUUUAGAACGCAAAUAAUGGACCCAUAUACAGAAUUUCCUUAUGUUGAGCCAUUCCAACAUGAAAUUCAUAUAUAUCCUUGACUAAAUGAUUAAAACCUCACGAUCUAAGCUUAUAGAUUUGAGAUGAAGUAUAAUUUCCUCUCCCUUAAUUAUAGCAAAACAACUUUUUCCCAAUUGAAACUUUUGUUUUCUAUAAUUAACAUUGCUAACUUGCAAUACUUCUCAUAAUUAUCAUGCUCCCACUAACAUGAUGAUUAUUAGCAUAACACUUAUGCUCCCACUAGCUUUGACAUGUACUCAGAAAUCAGCUGGACUUCUAGAAGUCAAUACUUCAUUGACUUUCUUACCACAAUUCAGAUUUCUGAUACUAAAUUGUUUUGAUAAGACUUUUAUCAAAAUCAUACACCUUCCCUUAGAUAGCACACUUGUGUGUCUAAACAAUUAUGAAGAGGGAUGCCGUAAUCAUAAUGGUUAGACCUUUUUUCCAUUUCUCACAAGUCCAGGUUAGUGUGCCGGUAAACCACACACGCUCCACUAACGACUUUGAGAAUGCAAAUAUCACAAUUGCUAUCUAGCUAAAAUCUACUUAGUGAAAGUGUUUCCUCACCAUCAUUUUCAUGAAUCGGAGAGAAACCUUAUGACACUUAGAUUUAAAUGGUGUAUGAGUUCCUACCCAUAUGAAUUUGUCAAACCAUAAUCACAAGACAAAGAUAAUGACAAAUCCAAAACCAUAUGGAUUGAACUCAAUCUUAACUUCUUGCCACCUGGCAGCUCAAGGGCCUGCCAUUGCUUCCAAGUUGUUAUGCAACAAACUGAGAACUCUAAGAACUCAUAUGCAAAGCCAACUUUAACUGGAAUGGGCACAGAUAUGUCAACACGAUAGGUUAUAAACCUCAAGUCGUGUGCUAGUGAAGAACUUUAGGUUUUAUUCUUGAUUAUUUCUUGAGACUUUCAAGACCUUUAAGACUCCCACUGUCCUCUUGACAUAUAAGACUCCCUUGUCAAACAUCCAAGAGAUAGUGCGGAUUCUAAUCAAGAAAAACACUUUACCCAAUUGGCCUAAGUUGGUCUUUGUUUUAUCCAAAACAUCACAACUUACCAAUUUCAAAUGUACAAGAGUAGAAAACUUUUACUCUUACAUUUGACAAGUGUUUUAAACCUUCUUUAAGACAUGUCACUCAAAUGACAAUCUUGGAGUAUGACUCUAAGACUUGUAUUGGAACGAAGUAUGACUCAUCUUCUUGAUUUAACCAUUUCAACAAUUCAAGUUCCUCUUCUUAGUCAUAAGAAUGCACUAAGAUUUCCUUAGAGAACUAAUUUUGAUAUGGUUUCUUAAUCAUUAAGAUGAUCACAAAACUGAUACUAAAGUACUCUCCCAUCUUUUCAGAUUUGAGAAACUUUUAUCCUUCUGCCUUAUUUGAUUCUUCUUAUCGAUCUUUAGUGGUGGACUUAAUCAGUGCACAAGAAUGUGUACUCGAUCCCUAAGUCCUUUACUUGACUCACACAUCCAUGUGAACAAGUAAUUAGUCUUAAUUUUCCAAAACUUGAAAGUUCUCAUUCAUCAUGCUAUACAACUUGCAUGAUUCCAAGUUCCGGUCCAAUUGAAACUUGGGUGAUGAGAAUCUUUCCUUAUUUGGUAAAUUUAGACAUUACCACAAAUGAAAGAAUCAAUUUCAUAUUUCCACUCUUGCUCUUAAUGGAAUCAUAUAAGCAACAAUUUUUCCUCAAAUGCCAUUGUAAGGAUAUUUUAAAAUAAAUAAAAUCAAAAAAAUUUUCUUUUAUUUUAAAACUUUGCGGAAAAACUUAUCCUUACAAUCCAUAUGAAAACUUGUUGUUAUCUAUUCCUAAGCAAUAUCUCAUAACUCCUAAGAAGUAGCUCAAGAAUCCGAUCUUCAAACUAUGCGAUAGAAAUCCAUCUACGCCAUCAGAUUCAGCAUAUUCUUUCUUUAAGUUUCUUCACUUUUCUUUGAUUCUUAAAACAUCACCAUGUGACCCAGUCACAUCAUGUAUCAAGAAUCUCAGAAUAGAAACUUAACAGAGUUAGAUAGUGGACUUUACCUGAAGUAGAGUCAAACUUAUUGACUUUAACAUCCUUAGGUAAAUUUGGCAGCUUCGCAACCAAUGCCCCUUCCUUUGGCAAUAUAAACAUAUGGACCCUUUGAUAAUGGUACACGGGACUAUCACAGACUUAGCUUUUCUCUUUACCAUUUGGUCAACCGAGUUGACUAUGGCCGAUCCCUUUCCAUUGGGAAGAGAAUGCUUUACUGGAUAUCCAAUGUCAUCAUUGUCAAUGUCCAUAAAGUUUUAGGAAGUUGAUCUUAGCAAAUAGAUAAGAUCAUUAAGGGUCUUGUCAUAGUCUGUUUCAUAGGUGUCCCAAAGGAACUCACUAUGUGACUUAGAAAGUGGUUGAACCACCAACUUUCUCAAGACUUUGACACCCAACUCUCCCGGCUUGUCAAUAUGUGACUACAUCUCCAAGAUGUGACCACACCUAGACCUUGCCUUGCCAAUAGGGCCUGAGUGACCUUAAACUUUUCAAGAACUUGUGGGUUAGGGAGAAUAAUUUGAAGAGGUGAAGAAGUAUGAUAUCCAUGGGACAUCAUCUUCAUUAGGAAACCUUGUUUCAAGAGAUUUGGGAAGAUCAUAGGUGUCUAAACCAGACAUCUUUUGGGAGAUAUUCAAGAUAGUUGAUUUAAAGUCCUUAAUAUGACACCCAAUAUGAAAUAUUAAGGCUAGGACCCAACAAACUAUUUUAUAACUUAGAAGAGGUAUGCCGUAAUCCAAGCUAUAAAAUAUUUGAAGGUAGGUGAAUGACGAUUCACCAAUUUCCACCAAGAUAAACGAAAUGUAUUAUUAGGUUUUAAUUGGUUUUGAAACUCCUAGAUCUUUGAGAUUCAUUGAACUUUUCAAAGGCAUGUUUCAAUCUCGAGUGUGCCCUUCAGGUUUUGUGACUGGGAUGCCGAGGAUCACAAAACAAGGUGUGAAGUAACCAUGCAAAUCACUUGGUACCCUUAAUAAAUUACCCCUCAAUCGAUGUGCCGGUUAACCACACACGCUCCAUCGAUACUAUGAUAAAUAUUAAGUCACCCUUUACCUACCUUGUUAAGUCCAAGUUAGUGUGCCGGUUAACCACACACGCUCCACUAACGACUUAGACAAAGUGUAAAGUGUAAUUUCAUGGAUUAGCACCUUAUUCACAUUUUUCCUAAGUAACUAAGAUUGGGUAUUAUUAAGAGUUUAGUUACUUAGUAUUAUCAUUAAUACUUUUAAUGAAGGGAGAAUUCUAGUCCUGUCAAACCCGUUCGGCUAACGACCCUCCACCAGUCAAGCAAGCGGUGGGUGAGAGUGGACACCCAUUAAGUUGCCAUUUUAUAGGCAACAACCUUAUACCCACCUUAUAGACCGGCUUCGUGAAUGAGGCGUACUAGCGGUAAGACUGACUUUACUCUUAUACAUAUAUAUAUUAUUAACUUAUAAUAUUAUAAAGUAUAAGGGUUGAAUUUUAACUUUUAAAAUUCUAAGGGCUAACUUGGAAUUAAAGUAUUCAUACUUGAAAACUUUUCAAAUUCCAAAACUUGAGGGCAAGUUUUGAAACUAUUCAAAACUAAUUAAUUCCAUAACUUAUGUGUUUAAAGUAGUUUUAAUCCAAAAACUCUUCAAGUUCCAUAACUUGAGGACAAGUUAUGGAAGACUUUAAACUAAUAAAAGAACUAACUUUUUCUUUAUUUUAUAACUUAUGGAUUUAAUUAUGGUUACAUAUUUUUCUUUAAUGAAGUGACUCUUGAACUUCCAUAACUUGAGGACAAGUUAUGGAGUCAAAAAAAAUUAUUCAAUGACACAAGACUCUUCAUUUUGUAACCAUUGCCAACUUUUAUGAGUUUUAUGAGUCUUUAAUGUGACUCUUCAUGUAACUUGAGGACAAGUUACACAAACACAUUUUAUACUCAACUCUUAGAUUAAAAUGGAUUGAAAACAACUAUUUCACUCAACAUUUCUAUUAAUCUAAGCAACUCAUAAGAACAAGAUAAUUCAAAUCAAACUUUUUCAUGUAAUUAGUCUAAACCUUAAACUAAUACAAAACAUGAAUCUAUUGACAAUUAUCUUUGAAAAUGGAUUAGCAUGAACAUUACCACAUCAAAAACAAGUUUAUAAGUUCAAAAACAACUUAGGGUAAUGUUCCUAGUCCAUUUCUAGCCAAAAAACUCGAAAAUAUGCUGUCUGGGGGUCCAACUCGUCGAGUGCAUGAACAAACUCGGCGAGUUGGAUCGAAUUCAUCACUUUUUAGGCAUGGACUCGUCGAGUCUCCUGAUGGACUCGCCGAGUCUGAUGGCCAGACAGCACCAGAUUCGUUUUUUCAGCUUCUAUUGCAGGUAUAACAAGAAAACAAGCCUAGGCUCUGAUACCACUGUUGGGUUUUGAGCAUUCUAACACUCCUAAGUGUACAUGCAACCCUAAAUACCUUGGAUCUAUGUUUUCUCUAUUAUACAUGCAAAUAAGAACUUCCAAGGUAUUAUCCUAAUCUAGCAUACAAAACAAUGACUAUAGCAAGAUAGAAUACAUACCUUUUUGGUGUAGAAAGUCUUCAUGAAGCUUGAGUGCCUAGUGCCCCAAGUGUGACACCUCAAAUGGAAUCA